rnacentral:rRNA from 1 species
GGUACCGUCAGGCCUAACGUGUAUUAUACGUUAGGAGGUUCUUCCCCUCUGACAGAGCUUUACGACCCAAGAGCCUUCAUCACUCACGCGGUAUUGCCGCGUCAGGCUUUCGCCCAUUGCGCAAAAUUCCCCA